rnacentral:rRNA from 1 species
AUUUGAACGCGGCGGAAUGCUUUACACAUGCAAGUCGAACGGUAGAGGGGGCAACCCCUUGAGAGUGGCGAACGGGUGAGUAAUAUAUCGGAACGUGCCCAGUCGUGGGGGAUAACGUAGUGAAAAUUACGCUAAUACCGCAUACGAUCUAAGGAUGAAAGCGGGGGAUCGCAAGACCUCGCGCGACUGGAGCGGCCGAUAUCAGAUUAGGUAGUUGGUAGGGUAAAGGCCUACCAAGCCAACGAUCUGUAGCUGGUCUGAGAGGACGACCAGCCACACUGGAACUGAGACACGGUCCAGACUCCUACGGGAGGCAGCAGUGGGGAAUUUUGGACAAUGGGCGAAAGCCUGAUCCAGCCAUUCCGCGUGCAGGAUGAAGGCCCUCGGGUUGUAAACUGCUUUUGUACAGAACGAAAAGGUUUCUAUUAAUACUAGGAGCUCAUGACGGUACUGUAAGAAUAAGCACCGGCUAACUACGUGCCAGCAGCCGCGGUAAUACGUAGGGUGCAAGCGUUAAUCGGAAUUACUGGGCGUAAAGCGUGCGCAGGCGGUUAUAUAAGUCAGAUGUGAAAUCCCCGGGCUCAACCUGGGAACUGCAUUUGAGACUGUAUAGCUAGAGUACGGUAGAGGGGGAUGGAAUUCCGCGUGUAGCAGUGAAAUGCGUAGAUAUGCGGAGGAACACCGAUGGCGAAGGCA